rnacentral:rRNA from 1 species
CUACGGGAUGCACCAGUGAGGAAUAUUGCACAAUGGGGGAAACCCUGAUGCAGCAAUGCCGCGUGGGUGAUGACGGCCUUCGGGUUGUAAAGCCCUUUUUUACGGGAAGAGAGAGGACGGUACCGUAAGAAUAAGUUCCGGCUAACUACGUGCCAGCAGCCGCGGUAAAACGUAGGGAGCAAGCGUUAUCCGGAUUUACUGGGCGUAAAGCGCAUGCAGGCGGAUUGAUAAGAUAGACGUGAAAGCUCUCGGCUUAACUGGGAGAGGUCGUUUAUAACUGUCAAUCUUGAGUAUGGUAGAGGAGAGCAGAAUUCCCGGUGUAGUGGUGGUAUGCGUAGAGAUCGGGAGGAAUACCAGUGGCGAAAGCGGCUCUCUGGGCCAAAACUGACGCUCAGAUGCGAAAGCGUGGGGAGCGAACGGGAUUAGAUACCCCUGUAGUC